rnacentral:rRNA from 1 species
ACGGAAGGCAGCAGUGAGGAAUAUUGGUCAAUGGUCGGAAGCCUGAACCAGCCAAGUCGCGUGCAGGAAGACGGUCCUAUGGAUUGUAAACUGCUUUUGUACGGGAAUAAAAUGGGGGACGUGUCCCCCUUGGAAUGUACCGUAAGAAUAAGGGUCGGCUAACUCCGUGCCAGCAGCCGCGGUAAUACGGAGGACCCGAGCGUUAUCCGGAUUUAUUGGGUUUAAAGGGAGCGCAGGCGGAGGAUGAAGUCAGCGGUGAAAUUCUCAUGCUCAACAUGAGAACUGCAAUUGAUACUGGUGCCCUUGAGUGAUGUCGAGGAUGGCGGAAUGUGAUGUGUAGCGGUGAAAUGCUUAGAUAUGUCACAGAACACCGAUUGCGAAGGCAGCUGUCCAGAGAACUUCUGACGCUCAGGCACGAAAGUAUGGGUAUCAAACAGGAUUAGAUACCCUGGUA